AAUCAAAUCGUUCGAGUAGUACGCACAGAAAAAGCUUAAAAUAAAAAAAAUUAUGAAAUCCUUUUAAUAGUCUAUUGAAUACAACAAAUAUUGCAUUUGCUUUUGAAGUUCUUUCUUAUAGUUUUUUAGUGCUAUCAAACCAAAAAUAAUGUGCCCUGGACCCUGUGCUAGUUGCUGCGGACCACCCAGCUGUGGCCCUUGCUGUCCGAGCAUCACUAUAUACACGUGCUGUACGAAGAUUUGCUAGUGUUGUGGAAGUCUGCGGCAGUUAUUUAAUAUUACCGGUCAUGUGUAUUACGUGGAAAUAAAAUAUUAAAUCAA